rnacentral:rRNA from 1 species
AUUCCAGCUCCAAUAGCGUAUAUUAAAGUUGUUGCAGUUAAAAAGCUCGUAGUUGAACUUUGGACCUGGUCGGCCGGUCCGGAUUUUUCCGCGUACUGGUUUUUCCGACCGGGCCUUUCCUUCUGGCUAGCCCUGGGUCCUUGUGGCCCUUGGUGAACCAGGACUUUUACUUUGAAAAAAUUAGAGUGUUCAAAGCAGGCGUAUUGCUCGAAUAUAUUAGCAUGGAAUAACAGAAUAGGACGUUUGGUUCUAUUUUGUUGGUUUCUAGGACCAUCGUAAUGAUUAAUAGGGACGGUCGGGGGCAUCAGUAUUCAGUUGUCAGAGGUGAAAUUCUUGGAUUUACUGAAGACUAACUACUGCGAAAGCAUUUGCCAAGGACGUUUUCAUUG